rnacentral:tRNA from 1 species
GAGAGUGAAACUCGGGGGCAGAGUGUGUGCUUAGCAGGCAUGAGGCCCUGGGUUCAAUCCUCAGCACCCCCA